UUUCCGUAGGUGAACCUGCGGAAGGAUCAUUAAAGAGUAAGGGUCUUCUAGGCCCGACCUCCCAACCCUUUGUUUACCAAACCAUUGUUGCUUCGGCGGGCCCGUCCCAGGACCGCCGGAGGACCGUCAAACGUCCUCUGGCCCGCGCCCGUCGAUGGCCCCUAUCAUUAAACUCUGAACCAAACGUGUCCUGUCUGAGUGAUUAUUAUCAAAAAUUAAAGCAAGACUUUCAACAACGGAUCUCUUGGUUCUG
rnacentral:misc_RNA from 1 species